rnacentral:rRNA from 1 species
GGUAAACGCUGGCGGCGUGCCUAAAACAUGCAAGUCGAACGCACAUCUUUCGGGGUGUGAGUGGCAGACGGCUGAGUAACGCGUGGGUGACGUACCUGACAGUGGGGAAUAACUGCCCGAAAGGGUGGCUAAAUACCGCAUACGCUCAUUUGAUGCAUUUUUGAUGAGGAAAGUCUCGUGAGAGGCGCUGAUGGAGCGGCCCGCGUCCGAUUAGCUAGUUGGGGGGUAACGGCCUACCAAGGCGACGAUCGUAGCUGGUCUCAGAGGAUGAUCAGCCAGACUGGGACUGAGACACGGCCCAGACUCCUACGGAGGCAGCAGUUAGGAAUUUUGGUCGAAU